GGGAAGAGCUCAAAUUUAUAAUCUGGCACCUUCGGGGCCCGAGAUGUAAUCUCUAUAAAUGUGUUCCCCGUGGGACCGCACACAAGUCUGCUGGAAUACAGCGGGAUAUAGAGGAGACCCCCGCCUAUGGUGCGGACGCCUACCGCUUUGCGAUACAUUUUCUAAGAGUCGAGUUGUUUGGGAAUGCUGCUCAUAUUGGGGGGUGAAUUCCAUCUUAAGCUAAUUAUUGUUGAGAGACCAAUAGCGAACAACUACCGCGAGGGAAAGAUGAAAAGCACUUUGUAAAGAGAGUUAACAGUACGUGAAAUUGUUGGAAGGGAAACACUUGAAGUCAGACUUGCUUGCUCAGCAAUCGGUUUGCAGGCCAGCAUCGUUUUUCCUGGAUGGAUAAUGGUAGAGAGAAGGUAGCAGUUUCUGCUGUGUUAUAGAUCUCUGCUGGAUACAUCUUGCUGGACUGAUGAAGGCACAGUGCCUUUUGGGGACUGAUUCAACCUCUUCACCCUUAUGAUGCUGGUGCAAUGGCUUUAAACCACCCGACGUG
rnacentral:rRNA from 1 species